UGUCUACUAAUUAUAGACCAGUAUGAAAGGCAAAAUGAGGGUCCAACUGUCUCUUAUAAUAAAUCAAUUAAACUGAUCUCCUAGUAAAAAAGCUAGAAUAUUAACAUAAGACCAGAAGACCCUGUGAAGCUUAAACUAAAAUAUUAAACCACAUAAUAACUACUUUCGGUUGGGGCGACCUUGGAAAAAAAAAGAACUUCCAAAUACUAUGACUCUACCUCAUAUUACCCAUUAGGCCCACAAGCCAAUAAUUGACCCAGCAUAGCUGAAAACUGAACUAAGUUACUCCAGGGAUAACAGCGCAAUCUUCUUCAAGAGCCCAUAUCAAAAAGAAGGCUUACGACCUCGAUGUUGGAUCAGGACAUCCUAAUGGUGCAGCCGCUAUUAAGGGUUCGUUUGUUCAACGAUUAAUAGU
rnacentral:rRNA from 1 species